rnacentral:rRNA from 1 species
CGACGUGAGCAAUCUGCCUUGGAGCGGGGAAUAACGGCUGGAAACAGCCGCUAAUACCGCAUGACGCGUCUGGGAGGCAUCUCUCUGGACGCCAAAGAUUUAUCGCUCUGAGAUGAGCUCGCGUCUGAUUAGCUAGUUGGCGGGGUAACGGCCCACCAAGGCGACGAUCAGUAGCCGGCCUGAGAGGGUGAACGGCCACAUUGGGACUGAGACACGGCCCAAACUCCUACGGGAGGCAGCAG